GGAGGAGGAGGGUCUCGCUUGAUGCUAGUGUGGACCGAUCAAAGUUCAGUAGCACCUGCAGAUGGAGAAAGUUUCUUCACUUUGGCUGCUCUUUUCAACCUCACUGCUGAUCUGCACAACAAACCAAGCUCGUCUGACUGUGAGUCCCAGCAGCUCUCAGGUCUUUAAA